CCCCACACCCACACCUGGGCGUAGGUGGGUGUUCGACCAGAGAAGAGAAAGAAGGGGGAAACCCCUUCUCAAACCCUAAUCGACCAAAUUGGAUGGAUUCUGGCUGAAAUCGAACUUGCAUGAACAAGAUUCUUGAUUGUUCAACUCUGUAAAACACAUGGAAUCCCAAUUGACAUGGACUCAAGAAUGGAAGGCUAACGGAUCAAGGGUAAAUAAAGAAGCUAUGCACAACUCGGACGCACGAUGAAAGUGAUUCCAAUUCACUUCUUAGUAUGUAUUGCAUGUAUCUCUACCACUACUAUCGAAGAUAAGCAUGCAUUGAUCGAGCCCCAAAUUAAAGAUUGUACGGGAAGAACGACCACAUAGUCCGAUUUAUGUAUUGUCUUGAAGUGUUACUUUAAUGUGGUUAUUGUUAAUCCCUUUUUUGUAAAUGUUUAUCAUUUGUAUUUGAGCUUUUAAAUAAGUGAUGGGUCUAAAUAAGAAAGAAAAUUUUUGGGCUCA